CUCUAAGGAGACUGCCGGUGACAAACCGGAGGAAGGUGGGGAUGACGUCAAGUCAUCAUGGCCCUUACGGCCAGGGCUACACACGUGAUACAAUGGUCGGUACAAAGGGUUGCCAAGCCGCGAGGUGGAGCUAAUCCCAUAAAACCGAUCGUAGUCCGGAUCGCAGUCUGCAACUCGACUGCGUGAAGUCGGAAUCGCUAGUAAUCGUGAAUCAGAAUGUCACGGUGAAUACGUUCCCGGGCCUUGUACACACCGCCCGUCACACCAUGGGAGUGGGUUGCUCCAGAAGUAG
rnacentral:rRNA from 1 species